rnacentral:sRNA from 1 species
GUCCAGGUGCCCAUGUCCACCUGGCAGCCUGGUGCAGUGCAAAUCUGCACCUUGGCGGCCCCACGUGGGCACUGCCCCUUCCCAGGCUCACAUGCUGUCACCCUGACGGGGAGGUGGGGGCUCGGUGACUUUGGAGGAGGGGAAUAGUGCCUGGCAGCCUGUCACCAGUAUGGUCCCGCAGCUCAUCCCACGGAUCCUGGAAGCCCCCAGAAUGUGGCCCAGUUGUCGCUGGCAGAGGCCCAGCUGCGCUUCAUCCAGGCCUGGCAGUCCCUGCCCGACUUCGGCAUCUCCUACGUCAUGGUCAGGUUCAAGGGCAGCAGGAAAGAUGAGAUCCUGGGCAUCGCCAACAACCGACUGAUCCGCAUCGACUUGGCCGUG